rnacentral:lncRNA from 1 species
AGACAGACAUCUUCACCACCUAGGAGGAAAUACUGCUGCCCCAUAGUCCCCUCUCUCCCCAUCAGCCCAGUCAACUGCCGCUAGUUUGCUUUCUGUCUGAGCAGGCUGGCCUCUAAGGACAGUUAGUGGCAAGUAACUUAUACAUUGUAUCUGACUUACUUUGCUUAGCAUCUUGUUUUCAAGGUUCAUCCAUGAGCAUAUGAGCCAGCAUUCCCUUCCUUUUAUGACAGAAUAAUACUCUAUUCUCUGUAUAUGCUGCCUAUUUACAUUAAGUACCUGUAAAUAGGUAUGGGUGGUCCCCAGCUUUGGGGUACAAUAAUGCAAGAGUAGGCUCAAUUUCUCUUACAUGUGUAUCCUAGAGCUAGGAGGGCUAUGUUUAACCUUCAAACUCAUGCAUUAUCUCCCUGAACUGCCUCAUGUACCCAACCAUAGGAAACAACUCUGAAUGUAGUGUUUUGGGGAAUGUGGUUGAGAGUCAUAGCUGCCAGGUGCCUCAGUGAAAAAGUAACAUUGUUGUUCAACUUGCCACCUCUGCCUCAAAGUGUUAGCUUUGGGAAAGGGUCAAGAGCCUUGAAGCAGGGGCCAGACAGAGGAAACAGUAGGGCAAAGGCCCAGAGGAUAGCAAGGUCAGAACUUAGGCUAGACACAGGUAGAGAGAGAUGUCUUAGCUAGGGUUUUACUGCUGUGAACAGACACCAUGAUCAAGGCAACUCUCAUAAGGACAACAUUUAAUUGGGGCUGGCUUACAGGUUCAGAGGUUUAGUCCAUUAUCAUCAAGGCAGAAGCAUGGCAGCAUCCGGACAGGCAUGGUGCAGGAGGAGCUGAGUGUUCUACAUCUUCAUCUGAAGACUAGAAGACUGGCUCCCAUGUAGUUAGGACAAGGGUCUUAAAGCCCACACCCACCAUGACACACUUUCUCCAACAAGGCCACACCUCCUAAUAGUGCCACUCCCUGGGCCAAACAUACAUAAACCACCACAGAGAGUGAAGGAGGAGAUGAGCCAGUGAAGUUCCUCCACUGUACCCCAACACAGAGAUGCAAUGUCAUCCAGAAGUACUUGCAAAAUCAAGAGAAUAUGGAGCCUCUGCCAUUAGCUUGGAUGAUAUGGACCACUAGUAGAUGGAUAGCCGCCUUACAUCAGCCAAGGCGCUCCAGGUCUUCAUGGCACUGAUAAGAUCAAGAUGCCUUCUGUGUUCUGGCAGAAAUAGGGAAGGGUUGGGGCUGCCAGGGUGGGACCUGAGCAGAGCCAAGGUCAGGGAGGGACUUGCCCUCCUGUGCCACCCAGGCCACUGGGUUCUAACAGCCAGCCUUCCUGUUAGCAUGGACACAAUCUGCUUCUCAGAUCCAGCUGAUCUUUUAUGCAUUUUUAAUAAGCCAAGGUCAACAUUAUCACCCAAAGUUGAUGGCAAUCUUUUCUCUACGUAGCUGAUGUCUAAAAAUAGCCCCUCCUCAGGCCAGAGGUGUGGAAUAUACGCCUGGCUCUCUACAACUGGGUGUUCCUCUCCAGCUAGCUCAGCAGGGUGUUAAAUAAAAAUUCACAAG